rnacentral:rRNA from 1 species
CUCAGAACGAACGCUGGCGGCAGGCUUAACACAUGCAAGUCGAGCGCUGUAGCAAUACAGAGCGGCAGACGGGUGAGUAACGCGUGGGAAUCUACCCAUCUCUACGGAAUAACUCAGGGAAACUUGUGCUAAUACCGUAUACGCCCUUAGGGGGGAAAGAUUUAUCGGGGAUGGAUGAGCCCGCGUUGGAUUAGCUAGUUGGUGGGGUAAAGGCCUACCAAGGCGACGAUCCAUAGCUGGUCUGAGAGGAUGAUCAGCCACAUUGGGACUGAGACACGGCCCAAACUCCUACGGGAGGCAGCAGUGGGGAAUAUUGGACAAUGGGCGCAAGCCUGAUCCAGCCAUGCCGCGUGAGUGAUGAAGGCCCUAGGGUUGUAAAGCUCUUUCACCGGUGAAGAUAAUGACGGUAACCGGAGAAGAAGCCCCGGCUAACUUCGUG